ensembl:lncRNA
ACAAUUCAAUAAUGAUGAGACGGGAGACAGGAAUCAGUUCAACCAUUUAUCUGGAAAGUGAUCAUCUCUACACAUACAAACCCCCAUGAUGCUCUGCGCCACAACCCCAAUAAACAACAAAUACAUCAUACAUAGGUAAAAUGGACAGUAAACAAAACCCAGAGGACUUUAAAUGUUCAGUUCUAGAAAGUAGGACCAUGGGACAGGGUCAGAAAGGUCAGUUACAUCAGGUCCAUUAUAACACAGUGAAGUAGGACCAUGGGACAGGGUCAGAAAGGUCAUUAUAACACAGUGAAGUAGGACCAUGGGACAGGGUCAGAAAGGUCAGUAUGUUUGAUACCUGGUUAUAGAGGUGACAUAACAAGCAUAAGGUCCAUUAUAACACAGUGAAUUAGAGGUGGGAGCUAAAAGCAGACAUGGACAGUGAGACGGUGUGAGGAGGUCAGGGGUCAAACACUAGAUCAGGACAGGUAGAAAUGGCAGGGCUGGAAAUAGACAGAGACACAUUCUGAUCAUGGCUCAGACCUGACCUGAGACACCCAAUCAGAAGAUGUCAUAACAAAGUCCUGACCUGAGACACCCAAUCAGAAGAUGCCAUAACAGAGUCCUGAC